rnacentral:rRNA from 1 species
UGGAAGUAAAAGUCGUAACAAGGUCUCCGUUGGUGAACCAGCGGAGGGAUCAUUACCGAGUUUACAACUCCCAAACCCAAUGUGAACGUUACCAAACUGUUGCCUCGGCGGGAUCUUCUGCCCCGGGUGCGUCGCAGCCCCGGACCAAGGCGCCCGCCGGAGGAAUCAACCAAAACUCUUAUUGUAUACCCCCUCGCGGGUUUUUUUAUAAUCUGAGCCUUCUCGGCGCCUCUCGUAGGCGUUUCGAAAAUGAAUCAAAACUUUCAACAACGGAUCUCUUGGUUCUGGCAUCGAUGAAGAACGCAGCGAAAUGCGAUAAGUAAUGUGAAUUGCAGAAUUCAGUGAAUCAUCGAAUCUUUGAACGCACAUUGCGCCCGCCAGUAUUCUGGCGGGCAUGCCUGUCCGAGCGUCAUUUCAACCCUCGAACCCCUCCGGGGGGUCGGCGUUGGGGAUCGGCCCUCCUCUUGCGGGGGCCGUCUCCGAAAUACAGUGGCGGUCUCGCCGCAGCCUCUCCUGCGCAGUAGUUUGCACACUCGCAUCGGGAGCGCGGCGCGUCCACAGCCGUUAAACACCCAACUUCUGAAAUGUUGACCUCGGAUCAGGUAGGAAUACCCGCUGAACUUAAGCAUAUCAAUAAGCGGAGGA